ACGAACGCUGGCGGCGUGCCUAAUACAUGCAAGUCGAGCGGACUGAAUGGGAGCUUGCUCUUGUUCGGUCAGCGGCGGACGGGUGAGUAACACGUGGGCAACCUGCCCGCAAGACCGGGAUAACUCCGGGAAACCGGAGCUAAUACCGGAUAACACCGAAGACCGCAUGGUCUUUGGUUGAAAGGCGGCGCAAGCUGCCACUUGCGGAUGGGCCCGCGGCGCAUUAGCUAGUUGGUGAGGUAACGGCUCACCAAGGCGACGAUGCGUAGCCGGCCUGCGAGGGUGACCGGCCACACUGGGACUGAGACACGGCCCAGACUCCUACGGGAGGCAGCAGUAGGGAAUCUUCCGCAAUGGGCGAAAGCCUGACGGAGCGACGCCGCGUGAGCGAAGAAGGCCUUCGGGUCGUAAAGCUCUGUUGUGAGGGACGAAGGAGCGCCGUUUGAAGAAGGCGGCGCGGUGACGGUACCUCACGAGGAAGCCCCGGCUAACUACGUG
rnacentral:rRNA from 1 species